UACGAAGGGGGCUAGCGUUGCUCGGAAUUACUGGGCGUAAAGGGCGCGUAGGCGGACAGUUGUAGUCAGAGGUGAAAAGCCCAGGGCUCAACCUUGGAAUUGCCUUUGAUACUGGCUGUCUUGAGUUCGGGAGAGGUGAGUGGAAUGCCGAGUGUAGAGGUGAAAUUCGUAGAUAUUCGGCGGAACACCAGUGGCGAAGGCGGUUCGUCUGGGCAUUGACCUGACGCUGAGGAGCGAAAGAUGUGGGGAGGCGAACAGG
rnacentral:rRNA from 1 species